GUUUAAGUAGUUUAAAUUUAAAAUGUUGAUUUGUGGUAUCAGUGAUAUAGUGUUAUCUUAGACU
rnacentral:tRNA from 1 species